rnacentral:tRNA from 1 species
CGGAUAGCUCAGUUGGUAGAGCAGGGGACUGAAAAUCCCCGUGUCGUUGGUUCGAUUCCGACUCCGGC